AAAAAAAAAAAAAAAAACAAAAAAAAAAAGAAAUUUUUAGAGAAAAGACAAAACCUCUCCUCUUUCCAUGUUAGUGUUCUCUCUCUCUCCAUGUAACUGUUUGAUAGUUUAUGGAGGAACCUGGUGUUUUCUGAAUAAGAUUUGGCUACCAUGAGCUGAAUUAUAAUAAAAUCAUAUAAAAAGAGCCGUUUUGAAAGCCCGAUCGGUUGGACCUAGGACCAGCGAUGCGUGAUAAUGCGUCUUCUCCAGUUCUACAUCAUUUGGUGACUCGACAUCAAACUGAUCGAAGUAGAAAGGGUGUCGUUUCAGUUGCAAUUUAUGGGAAAAAAAAAAAAAAACCCAUCCGACUUCUUCUCCCGCUGAGUUCCUAGAGACCAUUGAAAUCCCCAAUUCCUUUCCCUCUUACCAAUUCCUCUUCCUUCGCUG
rnacentral:misc_RNA from 1 species